CCUACGGGAGGCAGCAGUGAGGAAUAUUGGUCAAUGGACGAGAGUCUGAACCAGCCAAGUAGCGUGAAGGAUGACUGCCCUAUGGGUUGUAAACUUCUUUUAUAUGGGAAUAAAAUGUUCCACGUGUGGGAUUUUGUCUGUACCAUAUGAAUAAGGAUCGGCUAACUCCGUGCCAGCAGCCGCGGUAAUACGGAGGAUCCGAGCGUUAUCCGGAUUUAUUGGGUUUAAGGGGAGCGUAGGUGGAUUGUUAAGUCAGUUGUGAAAGUUUGCGGCUCAACCGUAAAAUUGCAGUUGAAACUGGCAGUCUUGAGUACAGUAGAGGUGGGCGGAAUUCGUGGUGUAGCGGUGAAAUGCUUAGAUAUCACGAAGAACUCCGAUUGCGAAGGCAGUUCACUGGACUGCAACUGACACUGAGGCUCGAAAGUGUGGGUAUCAAACAGGAUUAGAUACCCGAGUAGUC
rnacentral:rRNA from 1 species